AGAGUUUGAUUAUGGCUCAGGAUGAACGCUGGCGGCGUGCUUCAUACAUGCAAGUCGAACGAGAAUUGGUAGCUUGCUACCAAGGAAAGUGGCGGACGGGUGAGUAAUACAUAGGGAAUCUGCCCUUAGCCGGGGGACAACAGUUGGAAACGACUGCUAAUACCGCAUAUGAGUAUAGUUGAGAUAUUAUACUUGAAAACUCCGGUGGCUAAGGAUGAGCCUGUGCCUGAUUAGUUAGUUGGCGGGGUAAAGGCCCACCAAGGCGACGAUCAGUAGCUGGUUUGAGAGGAUGAUCAGCCACAAUGGGACUGAGACACGGCCCAUACUCCUACGGGAGGCAGCAGUAGGGAAUUUUGCGCAAUGGGCGAAAGCCUGAACCGCAGCAACGCCGCGUGUGUGAUGAAGCCCCUAGGGGUGUAAAACACUGUCAGUGGGGACGAAAGAUGACGGUACCCACAGAGGAAGCACCGGCUAACUCCGUGCCAGCCGCCGC
rnacentral:rRNA from 1 species